UCCUGAUGAGGAGGAAUGACCUCAUGAUAGGAAGUGCCGUAUGACACUUAACAGCAGCUGUUUC